UGAAGUAGCGUAAGGGCAUCUGGUGGAUGCCUUGGCGGUAAGAGGCGAUGAAGGACGUGGCACCCUGCGAAAAGGCCUGGGGAGAUGGGAGCAAUCUUUGAUCCGGGCAUGUCCGAAUGGGGAAACCCCACCUUAGGGUGAUCCUGAACUGAAUUCAUAGGUUCAGGAGGCGAACCCGGCGAACUGAAACAUCUCAGUAGCCGGAGGAAAGGAAAUCAACCGAGACUCCGCAAGUAGUGGCGAGCGAACGCGGACCAGCCCAGUGGCUGUGUGAUAAGAACCGGAAGCGUCUGGAAAGUCGCACCAUAGCGGGUGAUAGUCCCGUACGGGUAAAUUGUCGCACGGUCCUCGAGUAAGGCGGGACACGUGAAAUCCUGUCUGAACGUGGGGGGACCACCCUCCAAGGCUAAGUACUCCUUACCGACCGAUAGUGCACCAGUACCGUGAGGGAAAGGUGAAAAGCACCCCGAGAGGGGAGUGAAAUAGACCCUGAAACCGGAUGCCUACAAGCAGUCGGAGCCUCCUUGAGGGGUGACGGCGUACCUUUUGUAUAAUGGGUCAGCGACUUAAUCUUACGAGCGAGCUUAAGCCGAUAGGCGUAGGCGCAGCGAAAGCGAGUCUGAAUAGGGCGUUCAGUUCGUGGGAUUAGACCCGAAACCGGGUGAUCUAGCCAUGGGCAGGUUGAAGGUGCGGUAACACGCACUGGAGGACCGAACUCACGUCUGUUGAAAAAGACGGGGAUGACCUGUGGUUAGGGGUGAAAGGCUAAUCAAACUCGGAAAUAGCUGGUUCUCCGCGAAAACUAUUUAGGUAGUACGUCGCGUGAUUACCCACGGGGGUAGAGCACUGGAUGGGCUAGGGGGGCGCGAGCCUUACCAAACCUAACCAAACUCCGAAUACCGUGGAGUACAGCGCGGCAGACAGACCUCGGGUGCUAACGUCCGGGGUCGAGAGGGAAACAACCCAGACCGCCAGCUAAGGUCCCCAAGUCAUGGCUAAGUGGGAAAGGAUGUGGGAAGGCCACAACAACCAGGAGGUUGGCUUAGAAGCAGCCAUCCUUUAAAGAAAGCGUAAUAGCUCACUGGUCUAAUAGCCGUCCUGCGCCGAAGAUGUACCGGGGCUGAAGCCAUGCACCGAAGCUGCGGGUUCGAUCUUUGAUCGAGCGGUAGCGGAGCGUUCCGUAGGCCUGCGAAGGUGUGCCGUGAGGUAUGCUGGAGGUAUCGGAAGCGAGAAUGCUGACAUGAGUAGCGACAAACAGUGUGAGAAACACUGUCGCCGAAAGUCCAAGGGUUCCUGCGCAAGGUUAAUCCGCGCAGGGUGAGCCGGCCCCUAAGGCGAGGGCGAAAGCCGUAGUCGAUGGGAACCAGGUUAAUAUUCCUGGGCCUGCUGGAGGUGACGUCUCCCGUAAAUUGUUCGGUCUUAACGGAUUGAUCGGGCAGUGAAGGGGGGCCAGGAAAUAGCCCCAGCGUAUAGACCGUACCCGAAACCGACACAGGUGGACUGGUAGAGUAUACCCAGGCGCUUGAGAGAACGAUGUUGAAGGAACUAGGCAAAUUGCCCCCGUAACUUCGGGAGAAGGGGGCCUCGUUGGCGGGCAACCGUUGGCGAGGGGCACAGACCAGGGGGUAGCGACUGUUUACUAAAAACACAGGGCUCUGCGAAGUCUUAAGACGACGUAUAGGGUCCGACGCCUGCCCGGUGCCGGAAGGUUAAGAGGAGGGGUGCAAGCUCUGAAUUGAAGCCCCGGUAAACGGCGGCCGUAACUAUAACGGUCCUAAGGUAGCGAAAUUCCUUGUCGGGUAAGUUCCGACCUGCACGAAUGGCGUAACGACUUCCCCACUGUCUCCAACAUCGACUCAGCGAAAUUGAAUUCUCCGUGAAGAUGCGGAGUUCCCACGGUCAGACGGAAAGACCCCAUGCACCUUUACUAUAGCUUCGCAGUGGUAUUAGGAAUUGAAUGUGUAGGAUAGGUGGGAGGCUAUGAAACCGGGGCGCCAGUUCCGGCGGAGCCAACCUUGAAAUACCACCCUUUUGGUUCCUGAUAUCUAACCGCAACCCGUGAAGCCGGGUUCGGGACCCUGCGUGGUGGGUAGUUUGACUGGGGCGGUCGCCUCCCAAAGAGUAACGGAGGCGCGCGAUGGUGAGCUCAAGCUGGUCGGAAAUCAGCUGUUGAGUGCAAUGGCAUAAGCUCGCCUGACUGCGACAUCGACAGAUGGAGCAGAGACGAAAGUCGGUCAUAGUGAUCCGGUGGUCCCGCGUGGAAGGGCCAUCGCUCAACGGAUAAAAGGUACGCUGGGGAUAACAGGCUGAUCUCCCCCAAGAGUCCACAUCGACGGGGAGGUUUGGCACCUCGAUGUCGGCUCAUCACAUCCUGGGGCUGGAGCAGGUCCCAAGGGUUCGGCUGUUCGCCGAUUAAAGUGGUACGUGAGCUGGGUUUAGAACGUCGUGAGACAGUUCGGUCCCUAUCUGCCGUGGGUGUUGGAUACUUGAGAGGAGCUGCCCCUAGUACGAGAGGACCGGGGUGGACGUACCUCUGGUGUACCUGUUGUCGCGCCAGCGGCACCGCAGGGUAGCUAAGUACGGACGGGAUAACCGCUGAAAGCAUCUAAGCGGGAAGCCUCCCUCAAAACCAGGUAUCCCUAUCAGAGCCGUGGAAGACCACCACGUUGAUAGGCCGGGUGUGAAAGCGCGGUGACGCGUGCAGCUAACCGGUACUAAUGGCUCGAUCGGCUUCAAUCG
rnacentral:rRNA from 1 species